UGAGGAUCAUUUUUGAUAAUUUAUUGUUUGUUUAUUAGUGUUGCUGAUUAUGGAUCAUUUUUGUAUGGCUAAUGAAUCUGGUGCAAAAGGUUUAGACAUCUCCUGAUUAACAUCAUGAGGACUCAAUUGUUAAACAGAUUUGGUUUCACUUCCGUUGGAAGAUUACCGGAAAGUGAUGGCUUGAAGGGGAUAGGAAUAAGAGUUCACUAAUGAGAACAGUUUUAGUAGUGUGAAGAAAGAUGCUUCAACCAUUUCUUUUGCCGUCAUGCCUGGUCCAAGUGCCGCAUUUCCUCCGGAUGCUUCUGUCACUUUUACUCCAACCACCGUCACCCCAUUGACCAGUCUAAGAAGGGAAAGAA